AGACUCCUACGGGUAGGCAGCAAGUAGGGAAUCUGUCCGCAAAUGGUGCGAAAGCCUGACGGAGCAACGCCGCGUGAGUGAUGAAGGUCAUUCGGAUGCGUGAGAUACUCUGGUUAGUAGGGAAGAACAUGAUGUGUAAGUAACUGUGCACAUCUUGACGGUACCUAAUCAGAAAGCCAACGGCUAACUACGGGCCAGCAGCCGCAGGUAAUACGUAGGUGGCAAGCGUUAUCCAGGAAUUAUUGGGCGUAAAGCGCGCGUAGGCGGUUUUUUAAGUCUGAUGUGAAAGCCCACGGCUCAAGCCGUGGAGGGUCAUUGGAAACUGGAAAACUUGAGUGCAGAAUGAGGAAAGUGGAAUUCCAUGUGUAGCGGUGAAAUGCGCAGAGAUAUGGAGGAACACCAGUGGCGAAGGCGACUUUCUGGUCUGUAACUGACGCUGAUGUGCGAAUAGCGUUGGGGAUCAAACUGGAUUAGAUACCCUGGUAGUCCACGCCGUAAACGAUGAGUGCUUAAGUGUGUAGGGGUUUCCGC
rnacentral:rRNA from 1 species